rnacentral:misc_RNA from 1 species
GAAAUGCGAUAAGUAAUGUGAAUUGCAGAAUUCCGUGAAUCAUCGAAUCUUUGAACGCACAUUGCGCCCUCUGGUAUUCCGGGGGGGCAUGCCUGUCCGAGCGUCAUUGCGAACCCCUCAAGCACGGCUUGUGUGAUGGGCCCUCCCGCGUCUUGGUCGUCAAGACGGGCCCGAAAUGCAGUGGCGGCUUCGCGGUUAUCCGAUCAGCCAGAGCGUAUGGGGACUUUCUCUCUGUCACACGCCCGCGGCGCGGACCGACGCCUGUCGACCUUCAUUCAUCGUUUUCUCGGUUGACCUCGCAUCAGGUAGGGAUACCCGCUGAACUUCAGC